AGAAUCAACGCUGGCGGCGUGCCUAACACAUGCAAGUCGAACGAGAAAGUGGAGCAAUCCAUGAGUAAAGUGGCGCACGGGUGAGUAACACGUGACUGACCUACCUUUUAGUGGGGGAUAACCUAGGGAAACCUGGGCUAAUACCGCAUAAUACCUACGGGUCAAAGUCCGCCUCGGCGGACGCUGAAAGAGGGGGUCGCGGCCGAUUAGCUAGUUGGCGGGGUAAUGGCCCACCAAGGCGAUGAUCGGUAUCCGGCCUGAGAGGGCGCACGGACACACUGGAACUGAAACACGGUCCAGACUCCUACGGGAGGCAGC
rnacentral:rRNA from 1 species